rnacentral:rRNA from 1 species
UACGUAGGGUGCAAGCGUUGUCCGGAAUUAUUGGGCGUAAAGAGCUCGUAGGCGGUUUGUCGCGUCUGCUGUGAAAACUCGGGGCUUAACCCCGGGCCUGCAGUGGGUACGGGCAGACUAGAGUGCGGUAGGGGAGACUGGAAUUCCCGGUGUAGCAGUGAAAUGCGCAGAUAUCGGGAGGAACACCGGUGGCGAAGGCGGCUCACUGGGACGGUAUUGACGCUGAGACGCGAAAGCGUGGGGAGCAAACAGG